rnacentral:misc_RNA from 1 species
GAAAUGCGGUACGUAGUGUGAAUUGCAGAAUUCAGUGAAUAAUCGAAUCUUUGAACCCACAUUGCGCCCGCCAGUAUUCUGGCGGGCAUGCCUGUUCGAGCGUCAUUUCAACCAACAAGCCCCCGGGCUUGUGUUGGGGACCCUGCGGCUGCCCGCAGGCCCUGAAAUGCAGUGGCGGGCUCGCUGUCCACACCGAGCGUAGUACCAUUACACCGAGCUCAGGGCGUACGGCGUGCUCCGGCCGUUAAACGCGACCUUAACGCAUACCAAGGUUGACCUCGGAUCAGGUAGGAAGACCCACUGAACUUAA